rnacentral:lncRNA from 1 species
GCUAAACUCAUAACUACAAAACCCAUCACUGUAGCAUAUUAUACUUUCAAAAACACAUCUCAUUACAAGAUGUAAUUGUGGCAGCUGACCUGUUUGUCAGAAAAUUGGACAUGCGAUUCAGGUUACUGAAGCUGAACUUCAGAGAAUGCCUGUUAUUUUCAAACCUUUGAAAUAAACCGAGUUGGGACGUUGUGGGACCUUUUCCACCCAGUAAGACUGUUUUCUCCUUCCCGCUUCCAGUGGCCUUUGAGGAGGUGACCCCGUAUUGACCCCAACAAGAGCGUGGGAUCUUCUGGAUCGAGGCUUAAGAUCUCUGCACGAGGACCUCCUGCUGGAGAUUUCUGGGAACAACGUCUCUCCAGGGUUUCCCAGGCAAAGAGGGAUGUGGUCUGCCAUUCUUUUCUUCAGGGGCCACUUCUGGGACGGCGCAGUUUUGGCCAAAGCGACCCAGGCUGGCUCUUC